UGGGGAAUAUUGCACAAUGGGCGCAAGCCUGAUGCAGCCAUGCCGCGUGUGUGAAGAAGGCCUUCGGGUUGUAAAGCACUUUCAGCGAGGAGGAAGGCAUUAAGGUUAAUAACCUUAGUGAUUGACGUUACUCGCAGAAGAAGCACCGGCUAACUCCGUGCCAGCAGCCGCGGUAAUACGGAGGGUGCAAGCGUUAAUCGGAAUUACUGGGCGUAAAGCGCACGCAGGCGGUUUGUUAAGUCAGAUGUGAAAUCCCCGAGCUUAACUUGGGAGCUGCAUUUGAAACUGGCAAGCUAGAGUCUUGUAGAGGGGGGUAGAAUUCCAGGUGUAGCGGUGAAAUGCGUAGAGAUCUGGAGGAAUACCGGUGGCGAAGGCGGCCCCCUGGACAAAGACUGACGCUCAGGUGCGAAAGCGUGGGGCAGCAAACAGGAUUAGAUACCCUGGUAGUCCAGCGCUGUAAACGAUGUCGACUUUG
rnacentral:rRNA from 1 species